GUGACUGCGUACCUUUUGUAUAAUGGGUCAGCGACUUAUAUUCUGUAGCAAGGUUAACCGAAUAGGGGAGCCGAAGGGAAACCGAGUCUUAACUGGGCGUUAAGUUGCAGGGUAUAGACCCGAAACCCGGUGAUCUAGCCAUGGGCAGGUUGAAGGUUGGGUAACACUAACUGGAGGACCGAACCGACUAAUGUUGAAAAAUUAGCGGAUGACUUGUGGCUGGGGGUGAAAGGCCAAUCAAACCGGGAGAUAGCUGGUUCUCCCCGAAAGCUAUUUAGGUAGCGCCUCGUGAAUUCAUCUCCGGGGGUAGAGCACUGUUUCGGCAAGGGGGUCAUCCCGACUUACCAACCCGAUGCAAACUGCGAAUACCGGAGAAUGUUAUCACGGGAGACACACGGCGGGUGCUAACGUCCGUCGUGAAGAGGGAAACAACCCAGACCGCCAGCUAAGGUCCCAAAGUCAUGGUUAAGUGGGAAACGAUGUGGGAAGGCCCAGACAGCCAGGAUGUUGGCUUAGAAGCAGCCAUCAUUUAAAGAAAGCGUAAUAGCUCACUGGUCGAGUCGGCCUGCGCGGAAGAUGUAACGGGGCUAAACCAUGCACCGAAGCUGCGGCAGCGACACUAUGUGUUGUUGGGUAGGGGAGCGUUCUGUAAGCCUGUGAAGGUGGCCUGUGAGGGUUGCUGGAGGUAUCAGAAGUGCGAAUGCUGACAUAAGUAACGAUAAAGCGGGUGAAAAGCCCGCUCGCCGGAAGACCAAGGGUUCCUGUCCAACGUUAAUCGGGGCAGGGUGAGUCGACCCCUAAGGCGAGGCCGAAAGGCGUAGUCGAUGGGAAACAGGUUAAUAUUCCUGUACUUGGUGUUACUGCGAAGGGGGGACGGAGAAGGCUAUGUUGGCCGGGCGACGGUUGUCCCGGUUUAAGCGUGUAGGCUGAUUUUCCAGGCAAAUCCGGAAAAUCAAGGCUGAGGCGUGAUGACGAGGCACUACGGUGCUGAAGCAACAAAUGCCCUGCUUCCAGGAAAAGCCUCUAAGCAUCAGGUAACAUCAAAUCGUACCCCAAACCGACACAGGUGGUCAGGUAGAGAAUACCAAGGCGCUUGAGAGAACUCGGGUGAAGGAACUAGGCAAAAUGGUGCCGUAACUUCGGGAGAAGGCACGCUGAUAUGUAGGUGAAGCGACUUGCUCGUGGAGCUGAAAUCAGUCGAAGAUACCAGCUGGCUGCAACUGUUUAUUAAAAACACAGCACUGUGCAAACACGAAAGUGGACGUAUACGGUGUGACGCCUGCCCGGUGCCGGAAGGUUAAUUGAUGGGGUUAGCGGUAACGCGAAGCUCUUGAUCGAAGCCCCGGUAAACGGCGGCCGUAACUAUAACGGUCCUAAGGUAGCGAAAUUCCUUGUCGGGUAAGUUCCGACCUGCACGAAUGGCGUAAUGAUGGCCAGGCUGUCUCCACCCGAGACUCAGUGAAAUUGAACUCGCUGUGAAGAUGCAGUGUACCCGCGGCAAGACGGAAAGACCCCGUGAACCUUUACUAUAGCUUGACACUGAACAUUGAGCCUUGAUGUGUAGGAUAGGUGGGAGGCUUUGAAGUGUGGACGCCAGUCUGCAUGGAGCCGACCUUGAAAUACCACCCUUUAAUGUUUGAUGUUCUAACGUUGGCCCGUUAUCCGGGUUGCGGACAGUGUCUGGUGGGUAGUUUGACUGGGGCGGUCUCCUCCUAAAGAGUAACGGAGGAGCACGAAGGUUGGCUAAUCCUGGUCGGACAUCAGGAGGUUAGUGCAAUGGCAUAAGCCAGCUUGACUGCGAGCGUGACGGCGCGAGCAGGUGCGAAAGCAGGUCAUAGUGAUCCGGUGGUUCUGAAUGGAAGGGCCAUCGCUCAACGGAUAAAAGGUACUCCGGGGAUAACAGGCUGAUACCGCCCAAGAGUUCAUAUCGACGGCGGUGUUUGGCACCUCGAUGU
rnacentral:rRNA from 1 species